UACGUAGGGAGCGAGCGUUAAUCGGAAUUACUGGGCGUAGAGCGUGCGCAGGCGGCUUUGCAAGACAGAUGUGAAAUCCCCGGGCUCAACCUGGGAACUGCAUUUGUGACUGCAGGGCUAGAGUACGGCAGAGGGGGAUGGAAUUCCGCGUGUAGCAGUGAAAUGCGUAGAUAUGCGGAGGAACACCAAUGGCGAAGGCAAUCCCCUGGGCCUGUACUGACGCUCAUGCACGAAAGCGUGGGGAGCAAACAGG
rnacentral:rRNA from 1 species